UAGGGACACAUAGAGACACAUAGAGAGGCAUUGGGACACAUAGGGACCCAUAGGAACACAUAGGGACCCAUAGGGACACAUAGGGACCCAUAGAUGUCCAUAGGGACCCAUAGGGACCCACAGAGAGGCAUUGGGACCCAUAGGGACACAUUGGGACCCAUAGGGACACAUAGAUGUCCAUAGGGACCCAUAGGGACACAUAGAGAGGCAUUGGGACCCAUAGGGACACAUAGGGACACAUAGGGACACAUAGCGACGCCUAUGGGGCACACAGCGCUGACGGGACCCAUAGCGACCCAUAGCGACCCAUAGGGACCCACAGAGACCCAUAGCGACCCCAUAGGGACCCACAAGCCCCCAUAGCGACCCAUAGAGACCCCAUAGUGACCCCAUAGGGACCCACAAGCCCCCAUAGUGACCCAUAGAGACCCCAUAGUGACCCAUAGCAACCCCAUAGGGACCCACAGAGACCCAUAUCCCCCCAGAGCGACCCAUAGCGGCCUCAUAGGGAGCCACAGAGACCCAUAGCGACACAGAGAUCCCAUAGAGACCCAUAGCGACCCCAUAGAGAACCCUAGCCCCCCUAUAGCGACCCAUAGAGACCCCAUAGCAACCCACAGCAACCCCAUAGGGACCCACAGAGACCCAUAGCGACCCCAUAGCGACCCCCAGCCCCCCUCCCGCCCCACGCACCAUGAGCUCCUCGUUAAUGAUCAUCUUGCUAAUGAUGCUGUGCACCGUGGGCAGGUCCAGCUGGAACAUGGCCGCCAGGAUCUCCAUGCUGUGGGGCAGG
rnacentral:lncRNA from 1 species